rnacentral:rRNA from 1 species
AUUGAACGCUGGCGGAAUGCUUUACACAUGCAAGUCGAGCGGCAGCGCGGGGGCAACCCUGGCGGCGAGCGGCGAACGGGUGAGUAACACAUCGGAACGUACCCAGUCGUGGGGGAUAGCUCGGCGAAAGCCGGAUUAAUACCGCAUACGACCUGAGGGUGAAAGCGGGGGAUCGCAAGACCUCGCGCGGUUGGAGCGGCCGAUGGCGGAUUAGCUAGUUGGUGGGGUAAAGGCCUACCAAGGCGACGAUCCGUAGCUGGUCUGAGAGGACGACCAGCCACACUGGAACUGAGACACGGUCCAGACUCCUACGGGAGGCAGCAGUGGGGAAUUUUGGACAAUGGGGGCAACCCUGAUCCAGCCAUUCCGCGUGAGUGAAGAAGGCCUUCGGGUUGUAAUGCUCUUUCGGCAGGGAAGAAACGGCUCUCUCUAACAUAGGGGGCUAAUGACGGUACCUGAAGAAGAAGCACCGGCUAACUACGUGCCAGCCGCCGCUGUAAUAC